CCUACGGGUGGCAGCAGUGGGGAAUAUUGGACAAUGGGGGGAACCCUGAUCCAGCCAUGCCGCGUGUGUGAAGAAGGCCCUCGGGUUGUAAAGCACUUUCAGUGAGGAAGAACGCCUGGUGGUUAAUACCCAUCAGGAAAGACAUCACUCACAGAAGAAGCACCGGCUAACUCCGUGCCAGCAGCCGCGGUAAUACGGAGGGUGCGAGCGGUAAUCGGAAUUACUGGGCGUAAAGCGCGCGUAGGUGGCUUGAUAAGCCGGUUGUGAAAGCCCCGGGCUCAACCUGGGAACGGCAUCCGGAACUGUCAAGCUAGAGUGCAGGAGAGGAAGGUAGAAUUCCCGGUGUAGGGGUGAAAUGCGUAGAGAUCGGGAGGAAUAACAGUGGCGAAGGCGGCCUUCUGGACUGACACUGACACUGAGGUGCGAAAGCGUGGGUAGCAAACAGGAUUAGAUACCCUAGUAGUC
rnacentral:rRNA from 1 species